rnacentral:rRNA from 2 species
GUGACCUCAAAUCAGGUAGGACUACCCGCUGAACUUAAGCAUAUCAAUAAGCGGAGGAAAAGAAACUAACAAGGAUUCCCCUAGUAACUGCGAGUGAAGCGGGAAAAGCUCAAAUUUAAAAUCUGGCGGUCUUUUGGCUGUCCGAGUUGUAAUCUAGAGAAGUGUUAUCCGCGCUGGACCGUGUACAAGUCUCCUGGAAUGGAGCAUCAUAGAGGGUGAGAAUCCCGUCUUUGACAUGGACUGCCAGGGCUUUGUGAUGCGCUCUCAAAGAGUCGAGUUGUUUGGGAAUGCAGCUCAAAAUGGGUGGUAAAUUCCAUCUAAAGCUAAAUAUUGGCGAGAGACCGAUAGCGAACAAGUACCGUGAGGGAAAGAUGAAAAGAACUUUGGAAAGAGAGUUAAACAGUACGUGAAAUUGCUGAAAGGGAAACGCUUGAAGUCAGUCGCGUUGUCCAGAGAUCAACCUUGCUUUUGCUUGGUGCACUUUCUGGUUCAACGGGUCAGCAUCAAUUUUGACUAUUGGAAAAAGGUUGAGGGAAUGUGGCAUCUUUGGAUGUGUUAUAGCCCUUGGUUGUAUACAAUGGUUGGGAUUGAGGAACUCAGCACGCCGCAAGGCCGGGUUU